rnacentral:rRNA from 1 species
UACGUAGGGGGCAAGCGUUGUCCGGAUUUAUUGGGCGUAAAGAGCGUGUAGGCGGCUGGGUAGGUCCGCUGUGAAAACUCGAGGCUUAACCUCGAGACGUCGGUGGAAACCAUCCAGCUAGAGUCCGGAAGAGGAGAGUGGAAUUCCUGGUGUAGCGGUGAAAUGCGCAGAUAUCAGGAAGAACACCCGUGGCGAAAGCGGCUCUCUGGGACGGUACUGACGCUGAGACGGCGAAAGCGUGGGGAGCGAACAGG